UACAGAGGAUGCAAGCGUUAUCCGGAAUGAUUGGGCGUAAAGCGUCUGUAGGUGGCUUUUUAAGUCCGCCGUCAAAUCCCAGGGCUCAACUCUGGACAGGCGGUGGAAACUGCCAAUCUGGAGGACGGUAGAGGUAGGUAGAAUUCCCGGUGUAGUGGUGAAAUGCGUAGAGAUCGGGAGGAAUACCUGUGGCGAAGGCGGCCUACUGGGCCGGACCUGACGCUGAGACGCGAAGGCGUGGGGAGCGAACGGG
rnacentral:rRNA from 1 species